rnacentral:rRNA from 1 species
UACGGGGGGGGCAAGCGUUGUUCGGAAUUACUGGGCGUAAAGGGCUCGUAGGCGGCCAACUAAGUCAGACGUGAAAUCCCUCGGCUUAACCGGGGAACUGCCUCUGAUACUGGAUGGCUUGAGAUUGGGAGAGGGAUGCGGAAUUCCAGGUGUAGCGGUGAAAUGCGUAGAUAUCUGGAGGAACACCGGUGGCGAAGGCGGCAUCCUGGACCAACACUGACACUGAGGAGCGAAAGCCAGGGGAGCAAACGGG